GGUCCCCGCCCCGCGUGCUCAGGCUGAACAGCUUUUCUUCCCUGAUCUCUCGGAGGCGCCGGCUGCUGGCCAACGCAGGGCAGCCUCCUGCGUGCGUGCUGUGGGUUUCUCCUUCAGUUUCCUCUCAUUGCCUGAGGUUGGGCCCGAACACGGCGGUACAUUUCCUUGAGAUUUGAAAACAAUUUGUAGCCAACUUCAGUAUGAAUCAAAGCAUUGUUUUAAAAGGAAAGAUUCCUUCUGACAUUAAAUUGCAUUUUCCAAGAACCAGCAACAUCAACCAUCCAGACUUUAAUUAUGGAAUCACAGGUGCAACUGCGUAUCUCCUCAGUAGAGGACAGGAAGAUUUGUGUGACUGGGACUUUAUGGAUUUGGCAUCUCCUGCAAGAUGUGUGUCCAACUCCUGGGAAUACUGUAGCAUGAUUAUAGAAUUGGUUUCUAUUGUCUGUUUUCUGUUUGUUGCUCUCUCAUAAGUUAAGAAUCUUGGAUUUCAAGUCUAUAGUGUAACACUCUUGUUCAUAAUUUCUUAUUUAAAAAAAUGUUUAAAUAUUUCUAUAUUAAGUAUUUUUUCAAACUAUUUGGGCUUGCUAUUGAACAAAUGUUCUCUUUGUAUUGUAUAUUUUGAAGGUGCUAAAAAGCAUCACUAAAACAUUUUGGAAUAUAACAGAAAGAUGGUUAAUACAUUAUACUGACUACUUUUUUC
ensembl:lncRNA SLC66A1L solute carrier family 66 member 1 like (pseudogene)